GAAGCCAUCACACCUCCACCUCCAAAUCCAGUCCAGACAUGACCUCGCUCCUGAUCACCUGAUUACUGACCGCACCUGUUUCCUGUUAAAUCAUCCUUCAUCUAUGUUUUUGUCAGAGCUGCUGUUAUAGAAAAUUAAUCAACACUUUCUGACCAAUCAGAAUGCAGGAUUCAACAGUGCUGUGGUAUAAAGUGAGCGUUGUGGGAUGAAGCAAUAUAAAUCACAGCCUGUCGAG